AGUGAACGCUGGCGGCAGGCCUAACACAUGCAAGUCGAACGGCAGCACAGGAAGAGCUGGCUGUUACGGGUGGCGAGGGGCGGACGGGUGAGGUAUGCAUGGGAUACUACUGGGUCGCGGGUGAUAACGAAGGAAAAGUUAUGCGGAUACCGCAUACGACGCACGGGGGAAAGCAGGGGACCUUCGGACCUUGUGGGAUUGUAAGAGCUGAUGUCGGAUAAGCUAGGUGGCGGGGUAAAGGCGCACCAAGGCGACGAUCCGUAGCUGGUCUGAGUGCAUCAUCAGCCACCCUGGCACUGAGACACGGUCCAGACUCCUACGGUAGGCAGCAGUGGGGACUCUUGCACAAUGGGCGAAAGCCUGAUCCAGCCCUACCGCGUGAGUCAUGAAGGCCUUCGGCUUGUAGAGCCCUUUUGUUCGGAAAAAAGAACAGCACUUUCAUCCCCCACUGUUCUGACGGUACCCAAAGAAUAAGCCCCGGCUAACUUCGUG
rnacentral:rRNA from 1 species